rnacentral:rRNA from 1 species
CCUACGGGAGGCAGCAGUGAGGAAUAUUGGUCAAUGGGCGGGAGCCUGAACCAGCCAAGUCGCGUGAGGGAAGACGGUCCUAUGGAUUGUAAACCUCUUUAGGCGGGGAGCAAGGCCGGGCACGCGUGCCCGGAGGGAGAGAACCCGCAGAAGAAGCAGCGGCUAACUCCGUGCCAGCAGCCGCGGUAAUACGGGGGAUGCGAGCGUUAUCCGGAUUUAUGGGGUUUAAUGGGUGCGUAGGCGGAUUUUUAAGUCAGCGGUAAAAUGUCCGGGCUCAACCCGGGCCGGCCGUUGAAACUGGGGAUCUUGAGUUGGCGAGAAGUAUGCGGAAUGCGUGGUGUAGCGGUGAAAUGCAUAGAUAUCACGCAGAACUCCGAUUGCGAAGGCAGCAUACCGGCGCCCGACUGACGCUGAGGCACGAAAGCGUGGGGAUCGAACAGGAUUAGAUACCCCAGUAGUC